GUUUGUUUGCGCUCUCUGUAGUGGUGCAGAUUUCACUUGAAGAGACGGAUUUGUAGAUCAGCAUGAAGAACUCAUGAAGAAGAUGGUAUGAAACAGAUUUGAUCCCGACAAUAUCACAUGUGAAGGAGAUGAAAUUGCAGAUCAGCAAGGAAGAGAUCGGACUGAAGAUGAGCCGUCGCGCUUUGGAGGGAAUAGCAAGAGGCAUGGAAAGUUACAGAUGGAAGAGGUGGAAACGUGGAUAAGUUCUAGUGGGGCUAGGGCAAAUAAAGGGUUUUGGGUUUGGGCUGGACCAUGGGUCACGACGGGGCUGAAAUAACGGAAGUGUCGUACAGUUAUCGGACGUAAAACAUCAUACGUGAAGCAAUUUCGAAUAUGUAAUUCUCUACAAGAGGCAAAAAUUUGAUUCAUGUGCUUCCUCUUGAAUCGAUACUCUUACUUUGAAAAGGCAACAACUGAACCAUGUGCGCUUGCAAGUUAUCAGCUGCUAUGUACCAAGAAA